rnacentral:rRNA from 1 species
GAUGAACGCUAGCGGCAGGCUUAACACAUGCAAGUCGAGGGGUAUAGUUCUUCGGAACUAGAGACCGGCGCACGGGUGCGUAACGCGUAUGCAAUCUACCUUUUACAGAGGGAUAGCCCAGAGAAAUUUGGAUUAAUACCUCAUAGUAUUACGAUGUGGCAUCACAUUUUAAUUAAAGUUCCAACGGUAAAGAUGAGCAUGCGUCCCAUUAGCUAGAUGGUAAGGUAACGGCUUACCAUGGCGACGAUGGGUAGGGGUCCUGAGAGGGAGAUCCCCCACACUGGUACUGAGACACGGACCAGACUCCUACGGGUGGCUG